GUGCAGCAGUCGCGAAACCCGCAAUACACGAAAGUGUGACGGGCCAUCCCGAGUGCCGUCCGCUGAGGACGGCUUUCCCCAGUGUACAUAGCUGGGGAAUAAGGAGAGGGCAAGCCUGGUGUCAGCCGCCGCGGUAAUACCAGCUCUCCGAGUGGUGGGGACGCUUAUUGGGCCUAAAGCAUCCGUAGCCGGCUGGGCAAGUCCUCCGUUAAAUCCAACGAUUCAAUCGUUGGGCUGCGGGGGAUACUGUCCAGCUUGGGGGCGGGAGAGGCCGACGGUAUUCCCGGGGUAGGGUGAAAUCCUAUAAUCCCGGGAGGACCACCAGUGGCGAAGGCUGUCGGCUAGAACGCGCCCGACGGUGAGGGAUGAAAGCUGGGGGAGCGAACCGGAUUAGAUA
rnacentral:rRNA from 1 species